rnacentral:lncRNA from 1 species
GGGGGCCCCAGGUACAAAUAAAUACAUUCCAAAGCAACAGGUGAGCUUCAGAGGAGCCAGCUCUCUGGUUUCUACUGAAAUGUUUCUAGCAUUAAACAAACAUUGGAGGAAACACAAACAUCUGUCUGGAAGCGAAGCCUGGAGCUCGUGAAUUCCAGGGCUGGCUGUGGCCCCUGCCUCUGAUUUCCUGUGUGGGCCAGGACAAUUGGCUUCUUCUCUCUGUGUCUUAGUCACUCAGCUACACUAAUGCACGAGAAUGCUCAGACGACAUGGUAUCUCUUAGGAUGAUCUAUAUCUUAAGGGCAAAUGCAGCCAUUGCUGAAGAAUUGGUGGAGAGUCCAAGCAACGUUCCUGAAAUCAUGAGGAGCUCUGCCAGGCGCCUCAGCCUGCACAGAGACAGCUCUGCACUGCCUUUCUCUAGGAGCCAGAUCCAACGAGGCUCUUCAAAGGGGCUGGAGGCCCACGGUGGCAGCUGGGCCCUUCCUUCACUCAACACUACUCAACCUCGCUGGGACUAUUUGGAGUCAGAAGUCCUAUGUUUGAGUUUCCACCCAGUGAAGUACCAGCUACAAAACCUUGGCCAAACCACUUCACUUCCCUGGGUCUCAGUUUCCUUGUCUGUAAAAGAACAGUAAUAAAUCCUGCCUUGUGUGUAUUCUAGAUGGUUGAGGAUCAAGCAAGAAAAGAUGCAUAUGAAAACUUUAAGCUAUGAAAUGUAAUAUACCAAGGUAUUGACAAUAUAACAAUAAUUAUUAUUUUCAGUAAUUUCUUGCCUGGGAGGAGUGAUAUACCCAGUCAACUGUGUCUCACAGUGUUUCUAAAAUAUCUUCAGGACAGAGAUUUGUACCAGCCACAGACAGUGGUAGCGACCACACCUACGUUUAGAGUGGCUUCCUGCCGCAGGGUACACCUGUCCUUCCACCUCUUUCAGGUCAACGAUAAGCCAGUGCUCUCAGCAGUAAUCCUUGGCUCCCAAUAAUUACUGUUUGUGAAGACCCAUCUAACACCAGGGAGAGGAGAGGUGUGUUCAUUACUGCGGAGGAGGAGGGCAGUAGAUGACACUUACUUCGUACCCUCUACUCCUUUGCAUAACUUCUUCUGGACUCAGCGUAUGUAGGGUUGUAGUUAUUUGCAG